AUUGAACGCUGGCGGCAGGCCUAACACAUGCAAGUCGAGCGGAUGAAGGGAGCUUGCUCCUGGAUUCAGCGGCGGACGGGUGAGUAAUGCCUAGGAAUCUGCCUGGUAGUGGGGGAUAACGUCCGGAAACGGGCGCUAAUACCGCAUACGUCCUGAGGGAGAAAGUGGGGGUUCUUCGGACCUCACGCUAUCAGAUGAGCCUAGGUCGGAUUAGCUAGUUGGUGGGGUAAAGGCCUACCAAGGCGACGAUCCGUAACUGGUCUGAGAGGAUGAUCAGUCACACUGGAACUGAGACACGGUCCAGACUCCUACGGGAGGCAGCAGUGGGGAAUAUUGGACAAUGGGCGAAAGCCUGAUCCAGCCAUGCCGCGUGUGUGAAGAAGGUCUUCGGAUUGUAAAGCACUUUAAGUUGGGAGGAAGGGCAGUAAGUUAAUACCUUGCUGUUUUGACGUUACCAACAGAAUAAGCACCGGCUAACUUCAUG
rnacentral:rRNA from 1 species